AUUUAGCUGGCAGAUAAAUUGGUGCAAUAAGUGACCUGACAUUUCUUUCUUGUUCGACCAUGUUGUACAGUGAAAAUUGACAAAAUCUUGUUCCAAUUGAAAAUAUUUUAUCCUGGUUGUGUAGAUGGUUAAUCCUGAAAACGACCCAGAUUUUCCAUCCCAUAGCAGAAGAGCUCAGCUGUGGCUGUGUGCUCGUUAUUCCCAGCUGGCUGGUGUUAUUAUUCGGCUACUCUCAUUUUGGGCUAUUGUUCUAGUUCACCUUAAAACAGCUGCAUUAAAAACAUCUUUGGGAAUGGCAGGGGCACCAUUUUCUGGGCAGUUGAGGACUUCAAAGCAUGACAGCCAAAUAGGCAGAUGGAGUCAAUCUGCAGAAGUCAGCUCAAAAUCAAUAAGACGAUACAUUUCAGACUGAAACACUUACUGCAUAAUAACAACAACCUGAGUCAGAUGCAAGAUGCAUAACUGUGAAAAAUAUGUUCAUUGCUUCUCGUGAAGCCUGCCAGUUUGGGAAAGAGAGAGCCUGGCUUACGCUCAAGGUUUUGGGAUUGUAUCAUAAUUUUGAAUGGAGCCCAGGAUGCAGCUGAAAUGGGAGAGUCAAAGAGCCAGAGGACUUUCUGAUAUUAAAAGCACUACUGGAAAAAUAUGAAAUGGACAAAGAAAAAAUCAAUCAGAUGAAAGCUGUAAUUAGCCCACGUGUGCUCCUUGCAAGAACGGCUGCACUGCGCUCUUGGUGCACACAGGACAGAACUAAUGCCAGCUCUGCUUGCUCUCCUCACACUGCCUUGCUCAGCAGCUUCCCUGUUCAAGAGGGGUAACACUGGUGAAAUCAAGCCUAUAGCCAAUCCUUUUUUAUAAUCUCUCUUUUGAAUGACAGACCCCUGACUUGGAUCAGUAUGUCCAAAGACAUCAUUGUGGUUUUGCUUCCGAGUUGGCUGAUGGGAACAAAUGCUUCAUUUCUGUACUCCGUGGGUGGUUCGAGCCAAGCUCAUCUUGAUGGCAAGCAAUAUGCAAUUCUGAAAUAAAUGUCCCUUCAUUCAAUUAUAUAGGAAAUAA
rnacentral:lncRNA from 1 species